GUCCUGGCCCUAAACGGUGCACGUUUGCUGUGAGGAGAGUCGAAUCUUUUCGUGGCGAAGCUAACGCGUUAAACGUGCCGCCUGGGAAGUACGGCCGCAAGGUUAAAACUCAAAGAAAUUGACGGGGGCCUGCACAAGCGGUGGAGUAUGUGGCUCAAUUCGAUGCAACGCGAAGAACCUUACCUGGCCUUGACAUGCACGUAGUAGAAGGGUGAAAGCCCGACGAGGUAGCAAUACCAGCGUGCACAGGUGCUGCAUGGCUGUCGU
rnacentral:rRNA from 1 species